rnacentral:rRNA from 1 species
AACGAACGCUGGCGGCAGGCUUAACACAUGCAAGUCGAACGGGUGUAGCAAUACACCAGUGGCAGACGGGUGAGUAACACGUGGGAACCUUCCUCGUAGUACGGAACAACUCAGGGAAACUUGUGCUAAUACCGUAUACGUCCGAGAGGAGAAAGAUUUAUCGCUAUGAGACGGGCCCGCGUCGGAUUAGGUAGUUGGUGGGGUAACGGCCUACCAAGCCUACGAUCCGUAGCUGANCUGAGAGGAUGAUCAGCCACACUGGGACUGAGACACGGCCCAGACUCCUACGGGAGGCAGCAGUGGGGAAUCUUGGACAAUGGGCGCAAGCCUGAUCCAGCCAUGCCGCGUGAGUGAAGAAGGCCUUAGGGUUGUAAAGCUCUUUUGGCAGGGACGAUAAUGACGGUACCUGCAGAAUAAGCCCCGGCAAACUUCGUGCCAGCAGCCGCGGUAAC